rnacentral:lncRNA from 1 species
CAGACCUGGUACUCCACAGCUUCUUCAAAUUUAGGAGUUUACCACAUUCAAUAAAUACUGUCUUCAUUUUACAGAAUAUAGAAUACAGAAAAUAAUCAGAAUAAUCAGAGCUAUGAAUGUAACUUCUGAUGACCCCAGCUUUCACAUUCGUAUCUCCUCUCUCUCUGCUUGACAAAACUUACUAUAUUUAGAUUGGUAAGCUGAGUUUUUUGAGUGAAAUAACUUAUCAAUCAUGUUACAGCUAGGAUGUGUGGGGCAAGCAGUGUCUGAAGUUCAGAUCUCCUGCUGGUUCAUUCCAAGGAAAACAUGUGGACCCUGUUAUCUGCCAUGUGUUGCUGUCUGCAUAUUUCUUUCUGGGGAAAGAAGAGAUGAAGUCCUGUGAAGAUGGUGGAAAGGAGGAGGUUUUGGCUUCCCACCCUCCAGCAGGACCUACAGGAAAGUGAACAGUGCAUCAGCUGCUCAAGGAUGUGAUGGGCUUCUUGCUUGUUUUCAUGUUAUAUUGAUUAAAACAGCAGGAGCAGCCUCCCAGCACAGCCUCUUCAGCCAACUGCUCAACCUAAUGGCAGGAAAUGUAUGAAGCACUUCCAACAAAAUGGAUGCCAUGGAAGGCAGAUGAAGAGAAAUUGUAUUUAAACCGUUUCAAAAAACGUUUUCUCUCCCUUUCUCAUGACCUUUUCUGUUCUAUUCUAAGUCAUUGUGCUAUGCAGGUGUGAUUAUCUGAUUGACAAAUUUGGUGCUUGCCUUUUAUUUCUUUCAAUUCUCUGAGCACACAGAAGUGUUCUUGAUGUGAACAAAUCAUUGCUUUUGUUCUUCAAAAUAAGCUAAGGCCUGAAGCCACUUAGUUACCUCUUCUCCUGUUUGCCCAGGGAGAAAAAAAGCAACCUAGCAGUCCUCUGAACGUGCAAGUACCAAAAAAAAAAUAAAUAAAUAAAUCAAAGACCCA